UACGUAGGGGGCAAGCGUUGUCCGGAUUUAUUGGGCGUAAAGAGCGUGUAGGCGGCCAGGUAGGUCUGCUGUGAAAACUCGAGGCUUAACCUCGAGCUGUCGGCGGAAACCAUCUGGCUAGAGUCCGGAAGAGGAGAAUGGAAUUCCCGGUGUAGCGGUGAAAUGCGCAGAUAUCGGGAAGAACACCCGUGGCGAAGGCGGUUCUCUGGGACGGUACUGACGCUGAGGCGCGAAAGCUAGGGGAGCGAACAGG
rnacentral:rRNA from 1 species